rnacentral:rRNA from 1 species
CGGUGACAGGUGGUGGCAUGGUUGUCGUCAGCUCGUGUCGUGAGAUGUGGUUAAGUCCCGCAACGAGCGCAACCCCUAUUGUUAGUUGCCAUCAUUCAGUUGGGCACUCUAGCGAGACUGCCGGUAAUAAACCGGAGGAAGGUGGGGAUGACGUCAAAUCAUCAUGCCCCUUAUGACCUGGGCUACACACGUGCUACAAUGGUUGGUACAACGAGUUGCGAGUCGGUGACGGCGAGCUAAUCUCUUAAGGCCAAUCUCAGUUCGGAUUGUAGGCUGCAACUCGCCUACAUGAAGUCGGAAUCGCUAGUAAUCGCGGAUCAGCACGCCGCGGUGAAUACGUUCCCGGGCCUU